UACGUAGGGGGCAAGCGUUGUCCGGAUUUAUUGGGCGUAAAGAGCGUGUAGGCGGCCAGGUAGGUCCGUUGUGAAAACUCGAGGCUUAACCUCGAGACGUCGAUGGAAACCAUCUGGCUAGAGUCCGGAAGAGGAGAGUGGAAUUCCUGGUGUAGCGGUGAAAUGCGUAGAGAUCAUGAGGAAGACCAGUGGCGAAGGCGGGUCUCUGGACAGUUCCUGACACUGAGACACGAAGGCCGGGGGAGCAAACGGG
rnacentral:rRNA from 1 species